GAUGAGAAUGGAUGCUCCUCUUCUCAUUUGGGCUGUGGAAGACUAAGCAACGAAGAAGGGAAUUCAAUGGCUUCAUUUAGACCAUUGAAGCAAGCAAGGACGAUCGGUGGCGUUGGAGCUCGAGGUGGUGAAGUAGAAGAUGAUCAUGAUCAUAAUCAUGGUCAAGCAGAGUCAAGAUCAACCGCCAUUAUUGACUCCCUCAA
rnacentral:misc_RNA from 1 species